UAAUACGGAGGGGGCUAGCGUUGUUCGGAAUUAUUGGGCGUAAAGGGCGCGUAGGCGGCCCGGUAAGUCAGUCGUGAAAUCCCUCAGCUCAACUGGGGAACUGCGAUUGAAACUGCCAGGCUUGAGUUCUGGAGAGGGUAGCGGAAUUCCCAGUGUAGCGGUGAAAUGCGUAGAUAUUGGGAGGAACACCCGUGGCGAAGGCGGCUACCUGGACAGAUACUGACGCUGAGGCGCGAAAGCGUGGGGAGCAAACAGGAUUAGAUACCCUGGUAGUCCACGCUGUAAACGAUGGGCACUUGGUGUUGCGGGUAUCGACCCCUGCAGUGCCGGAGCUAACGCAUUAAGUGCCCCGCCUGGGGAGUACGGUCGCAAGGCUG
rnacentral:rRNA from 1 species